UACGUAGGCAGCGAGCGUUGUUCGGAGUUACUGGGCGUAAAGCGUGCGUAGGCGGUGUCUUAAGUUUGUUGUGAAAUCUCCCGGCUUAACCGGGAGGGUGCGGCGAAUACUGAGAUGCUGGAGUGCCGGAGAGGUAAGCGGAAUUCCUGGUGUAGCGGUGAAAUGCGUAGAGAUCAGGAAGAACAUCGGUGGCGAAGGCGCUCUGCUGGACCAUAACUGACACUCAGGGACGAAAGCUAGGGGAGCGAAUGGG
rnacentral:rRNA from 1 species